AACUCUGAGGAGUAAAUCACUCGGCUCACGGAUCGAUGAAGAAAACAGCCAGCUGCGAGACUUGGUGUGAAUUGCAGGACACAUAGAGCACUGAUUUUUCGAACGCGUAUUGCGGUCUCGGCUGAUACUCGAAACCUCGCCCGUCUGAGGGUCG
rnacentral:rRNA from 1 species